GUUCCCUGCGGUGUUGAGGGGAAUUCUACGCAUGAAUUAAAUCCAGAGAACUUCUCAAGUGACUUCAGAUGUUUUUCUAUCUGGAGACGGCGAAUUCAUGAAGGAAGCGAAGAAUUCCGUGUUUACCGGAUGAUUCCGGGUCAAGAUGUUUCUUCAGACCAAAAAGUGACUUAAUGCGGGAGAAGAAAUAUUCAUCGGCCUGGGAGGAGAUUGUAGACCAACGACCUGCAGGAGAUAUAGACAUGAAGGUGCGUGCUGGACAGUGAAGAGCGGAGUUACGAGGCGGCAGGCGUUGGGGUUAGUCACCUUUCUUCUGGCUGACUGGACUGGAUUAGCGUGUGAUUACUGGACAGCGAAGAAAGACAUCAAAGAGCGAAGCCUUUGUUAGGAAUUACAGCUUCAAGACGCCUCCUGUAUGGAGACACUAGUGUCCGGCAUUCUUCUGGGGGGGAUUCUGCCAAUUCUUCCACAUAAACAGUCUCCAAAUCCUGAAGGUUCCAUGGGCCUCUUCUAUGUAUCAUGAUCUUCAGUUCUUUCCAUAGAUUCUAUGAUAUGUCAGGUGAUUUUUAUUUUCUUUCUGUAAAACCAUUUGAGAGUUUCCUGUGUGUUUGGGAUCAUUUUCCUCCUUAAAUGUCCUUUCAUCUUCAUCAUCCUGGGAGAUGGCAGCAGAUUUGUCACAAUGUCUCAGUAAAUUUGUCAA